ACUGGCUUUGGAGGUGUUGUUUUAUGGCUGGGAGAGCAGGUUUCCGUGGUUACCUGGGCGGAGUCUAGUGGCUGCCUGCUGUCACAGCUGUCCUUUAUUUACCAUCGUCAGGAACCCCUCUUAAGGAACAGCAGGAGCACCAGUCUUUGCUAGAUCGUUUUGCCUUCCUAGUGGUAACUUGGCCAGCUCUCACCCGAGAUCGAUUGUCUAAGGAAAGAGUUUUCUGCAUUGACCUUUUUUUCCUUCGGUCCCAUCCCAGCCUGCUUCCCGGAACCUGACGGAUUCCCCGGCUUCCACACUCUCGCCCCCCGCGGCUUGGGGGAACUCCUCCAGCCAGCCGGAUCUUUACCUCUCCCUCAAGCGUGAAUUCUAUCUACCGCUCCUGCCGCCUGGACCCCUGUGCCUCUCUGCCUCUCCAGCAUCUUCCCCGGCCACGGAUCCCGUACUAAGUCCCUCUGCUGCCAAAAAUAAAGUCUUUUUAUUUCUCUGAAUCCCGCUUUUGAGUCCAACCCUCGUUCUGGCUAUCGCCCCAUGACACCUGGUACUCCGGCUUCCUCCCGCAGUCCAAAGACAUUAUCUGGGAAUCAGGUUAAAUUGCAUGUAGGUGCUUGGAUGUAUGAAUGGUUGUUUGUCUCGGUGUAAGCCCUGCGAUUGCUGGGCAACCAAUCCAGGGUGAAUCCCGUCUCUCUCCCGAAGUUGGCUGGAAUAGAUUCCAUCCUCCUCUGCAACCCUGUGUUCAGGAUUAGUGGUUUGAAGAUGAAUGGACGAUUUAUGUUCAUUAAGUCUUAUUACUACCAUUUUAUUUAGGAGAGACUCGUCCAAAUUGACAAAGAUUUAUUUCACAUGUACAUGUAUUACAUUGUGCACAAUCUUUGGCGAUUGGACCAAGGAUGAGUGAAGAAUGCCUGCUAGCUGCUGGAGGUGCCUGGGGUGGAGGAGGGUCGCAUCCGGUUUCGCGCUGAAAUGACACCUGAUAGCAACAAGAGAUAAUAUCCUUAAAAGGUUUAACAGCAACUAUUUGAUUGGUUUAGAGCCACAGUGCCACCUCUGUUGGUUGUAUAUACAUGGGCGCAGCCAAUCUCCGCUGAUAAUUCUGGGAGAUCAGGCAUAUCUAAAUUACGCGUGGCAUAAAGGGAGUGUUUCUUCUAGAACUACCGCUUAAGUUCCAUUUGAUGACAAAUGCAUAUACAGGAAGCCCAAAUAAGUAUAUUUAAUACGCUCCAGUAGGUACCAAUUACAUAAAGUGUUAUCGUUCCUUAUUGCUCAAAUAAUUAUUGUUUAAAUGUUGCCAAAUAUGUAAAUAACACCAUUUAUAGGACUGCAUUAUGAACUACAGAUGGACAUUCAAAUUAUUGGUGUAUUUACUUGAUGUAACACAUUCUUAUUCAAUAAAAUACAUAAAGAUGUACUGCUGCUGUACCUCCAACACAUGAUUCAUUAUAUUAUGCCUGACCCUGAGGGUUAAGUUCAGGUCUCUGUCGUCCUAUCUGCUGUCAUAAGGUGGCACUACAUGUCUGUGCAGGGAGCAAUAUAACUCCACCCAACAAGAAACAAGUUUCCUGGUGGGAGGGUUCUCAUAUUCAAACAGAUUAUAGUUACAGAAACACAGUACCAGUAACAAGGAGGACACAGCAAGAUGAUCACUAUCUUCUGCUUAGCCCUCAAUGUUAUGACAAUUUCAGGUGCCUCUCUCAGCGACCAGGUGCACCAGACUCCAUCUGAGAUGUUCACCAGACCUGAAGGAACAGCCCAUAUCUACUGCUCACACAGCAUUAAGGACUACGAUAAAAUCCUCUGGUACAAACAAUCCAGGGAUGACGCGAUGCUGUUCCUAGGUUACAUGUUUGCAACUAAUAAAAACCCAGAGGUUGGACUGGGUGUUAAUAUGACAGGGAGUGCAAAUCAACAUCAGACCUGCACAUUGACAAUGGAGAGAGUGGCCCUGAACAGCAGUGCUGUGUACUUCUGUGCUGCGUGGUCACACUGUGGAGCAUAUGGCUGCUCCUCGGUACAAGAAGCUCCUCAUCACACAUCGUUCCUCUCCCCAUAGAACAGCUCUCAGCUCCUCACACCUGUGCUCCGUCCUCAGCAAAUCUUUUUACAGAUCUUUAUACUGAACCAGGCACAGAGCUGUGUAGGGUUGGUUGACAAUGACGCCGCCCCACCAAUGACUUGGGAGGGUUCAAAGGAGGAGUUUGGGGGAUUCUUUGUAUAGCAGCUUCAGUCGUUGCAACAACAUAGGAGGUUUCCAAAUUAGAUCGCUUUUUCUGAGGUAUUACCAAACAUCCAGAAGAAACACAAAAUGCACAUCAUCUUCAUUUGCAUUACUUUUAGAUAUUUUAUGGUCUCAGGCUCGUCUCUCAGUGACCAAGUUCACCAGACUCCAGCUGAUAUUUACAACAAACCCACAGAAGAAGCCACAAUCAACUGUUCACACAGUA